GCCAACAACUUCCCGACGGAGCGGGAAUGUCGGGAGAGCUGCGGCCUGGCGGGGGCUCCGAAGAAACCCGAGCAUCGCACCAAGCAGACCGACGCCGACUCCACCUACGACGAGUACUGCGCUGUCCCCCGGGUGACCGGCCCGUGCCGCGCCUCCUUCCUACGCUGGUACUACAGCCCGGCAAACCGAACCUGCCGGCAAUUCAUCUACGGCGGCUGCCGGGGAAAUAAGAACAACUACCAGAGGGAAGAGGAAUGCCUGAGCCGCUGCGGC